rnacentral:lncRNA from 1 species
UGCAUCUCUCCCGGUGGGCUUCCACCCAUAUCCCUCUCCCACUUCCCGUGCCUCCCUCUCUCACAUGUGAAACAAAAACUUCUUCCCUUAUCUAACAUCCAUUGGAAUUAUAGAGCUCGGGAAAGGCAAAAGCGAAUUCGUGAUGAUGCUUGGAGUACGAGAAAUAGAGCAAUUUGAAGAUGAUACUCUGUAGACCACGAAUUUUGAAAGAGGAAGAAAUUGGAGGAGGCCAAACACGAAUUGCAGAAAUUGGAGCAGCCAUUGUAUCCAUGUAUUCGUGCUGAAACCUGCCUCAAGAUUUGUUGGCCACUUGGCCUGCCCGGCUAGGCUCCCGCCAUUUUGACGACUGACUCCACAGGUCGAGUUGUGGCUUUGCUCCUCGUCGGCAUGACCUGAGCAAGGGGCGCUGUCGAGGGAUGCAAUGGGCGGGGUUCUGGUGAGCAGGGAGGGGAUGCAAAGGAGACUGGCGGCAAGCUGUGACGGGACACACGAGGAAUUGGGCAGGAGGGCGGCAAGGAAGUGGCUGGGGCACGAGAGGAAGGCGGCGAGCUUUGGCAGGACGCAGUGAGCUGGGCAAGAGGAAACGGCGGCGAGCCGCGGCAAAUUGUGUCUGAGGAGAAAAAUGGCCGCACAUGAUCUAGUAGAAUUAAUGUUUGCCUUGGAUUACGGGGUAAGGGUCAUCGUUUGCACAGAAUCCUUUUUUAGUAAUCGAUUAUUAUUCUCUACCUUUUAAAGGCUUGUUCAUUUGCAUGAUUUCCCCCUUGGAUUGAGGAGGAUUGGGAGGGAUUAGAGGAAAAAUGAACUACAAUCCCUGCCAAUCCAUCUGAUUUUGUGGGGAUGGGGCAUAAACGAACGGGACUAAAAGGAAUUUCCCUAAUAAAGUAGGGAAUGAGUGCCGGUUCUUACUUUUUGGUCAUUAACUGUGGUGCCACAUCAGCGUUUCUCCUAGGUUCCAAAGCCAAGGGACGAGCGUUGGGAGUUGCGAUAGACACAUCUUUAUCUUCCGUGGGGUGGCAAUCGCUUCACUCCUGGGAUUAUUAGCAUGAAAGUACGUACGUAUCUGACUUCUGGAACCUGUAUGCCGAGCCGAGGGUCGAAUCUCCAAGCAGAUCGGCCAAUGCAAAAUGCAGACGGACGCGUCUGAGCAAAGCAAAUUAAGCUAAUCGUACGCACACACGUCUGACCAACACUAGCUGU